GUGCUAAGCACCAGUGACAUUCUGAGGUCAUGGCACGAAUCACAGUGGGGCCUUGCCCGGGUCAGCAGCGCCCAGAGUCAGGGUCCUCCGCUGCCUGAGGCGUCAACAUGCCUGCCUGCAAUGUGUUUGUGCACGUGCGUGCACAUGUGGCCUAGGGGAUGCCGAAUUCCAGGGUCCAGAAAGAGCUUGGGAUAAAAAGAAACUUCAAGGGGACGGCUUUGACCUGGGCUGAGUCUACCUGUGCCAUCCAACUGGAGUCUCAAGUCCUGAGGCAGGACGUCCAGAUGCCCCAGUGCAGGGUCCUCCUGAUCAACACCUGCUCCCCUGUACUCAUUAGCAACCUCACCCACCCUACUCUCAAAGCACACUUGGCUCUCGUAUCCAGGAGCUCUGCAUCUGUAGAUUCAGCAACAGCAGAUGGAAAAUAUUCAGAAAAUAAAUUGGACGGUUAUGUUUCUAUUGAACAUGUGCAGACUUUGUUCUUGUCAUCAUUCCCUAAAGAAUACAGUAUCACGACCAUUUAUGUAGCAUCUGCAUUGUAUUACACAUC
rnacentral:lncRNA from 1 species